rnacentral:rRNA from 1 species
CCUACGGGUGGCUGCAGUAAGGAAUAUUGGUCAAUGGACGCAAGUCUGAACCAGCCAUGCCGCGUGAAGGAUUAAGGUCCUCUGGAUUGUAAACUUCUUUUAUAUGGGACGAAAAAAGGGUAUUCUUACCCGUCUGACGGUACCAUAUGAAUAAGCACCGGCUAACUCCGUGCCAGCAGCCGCGGUAAUACGGAGGGUGCAAGCGUUAUCCGGUUUCACUGGGGCUAAGGGGUGCGUGUAAGUCAGGGGUGAAAUCCUAGAGCUUAACUCUAGAACUGCCAUUGAUACUAUCUGUCGUGAAUAUUGUGGAGGUAAGCGGAAUAUGUCAUGUAGCGGUGAAAUGCUUAGAUAUGACAUAGAACACCUAUUGCGAAGGCAGCUUACUACGCAUAUAUUGACGCUGAGGCACGAAAGCGUGGGGAUCAAACAGGAUUAGAUACCCUAGUAGUC